UAACGCUACCUUUUUUUAGGAGAGCACAGGACGAUCACGUUGGAUGGCAAAAUGAGAGGUCACCAAGGUAAAUUGGAUUUUAUCCUUCCUACUGUUAACAUUCCUGUUCAACAGUUUCAUAUUUAAUUGGUCAUCCUCAUACAGGAAGUCAUUCUGGAGCAGAUUUUCAAGGUAACAUUUUUUAUCCUUCUGUUUCAUGACUCUAUAUGAAAUACAUGAUAUUAACUGAAACUGUCAAACAAUAUAAAUGAAAUGUUUAUGAUCUUUGCAGACACCAGGGCAACACUGCGAACAUCAGCGUUGGCUAUUUAAGCAACACCAACGCUGUAAUCUGUGACCCUCAUGUUGACAAACCACGCUUUCCAUCCCCUAAGGAGUGAGUUUUCUUAACACAGCUGUGCUCCGUUAAACAUUAUACCAUUGUGUUUCACUUAGCUGUGUAUUAAUCGUCUGCUUUCCUGUUCGUUCUGUUUCAUCCAGUCACCGGAGGCGGCCUCACCCUUAACAGGCUUGGUUAGUAUAGUGCUGUUGUGUGGUGAGUGGUAAACCCCAAAUCAUGUAGAUAAAAGGCUUUUGUUAUAAAUUGUAGAAAGUUGCUCCACUAACUAUUAACCCUCUGAACCCCAAGCUGCUUCUUUAUUGUGCUCCUGUCACAUUUUUACUCAUAACAGUAUAAAGCCCUGGAUCUCAAAAAUCACAAAAAAAGACAAAUUAAAGCUUCUUAAGUUCUUCAUUUAUUAAAAAAAAAAAAAAAAAAAAAAAAAGUAAUUCACUUUUUCUCAAGUGUCAAUCAGGUGUUACCAAUAUUAGAAAAAAAAACACAGCCUGCAGUACGGCUGAAAAAUCUCUGGUUCAAGUACUUUAUUUUUUACUUUUCUUUGAAUUUGACAUGUAGAAUAAAGUGAUUCUGAAGAAAUUAACCUUAGAUUUGCUUAAUUUUUCUCAUGUAACCACAAGUCACACAUGAUGAGUUCACAGACCAUUGGAAAGUCUAAACUAUGACAGUUCUUUGUGUCUUUACAGUUUCUGUCACAGACAUAUGGUGUCAUUUUGACAGCAUUUUAUGAGAUUAGAAAAACAGGCAAUGAUUCAAUCAAAUUUUUAAAAAAUCUUUCACCUCUCUGUAAAAAAAAAUGUUAUCUGCCGUUAUUUAUUACAUUUAGUGACUUUUCUGACCCAAAUCCACACUGUGGUCACAUGAUUUGUCUUUUUGAUCAUUUUAUUUUGUGUACAAAGCUAGCAUGCUGCACAGAGCAAUUUGUGACUGUAACUGACUAUUUUCCUUAAAUUUGUUGCAGGAUUUCCAAAUGCAGUUCUUCAGGGAUGUCUCGGGAAACACAACAUGCUUCUAUGAGUAUGUUUCUGUCAUUUUAUAUUCAGUGCAUGUGGGGUGGAGAGAUGGUGCAUUUAAACUUCAUUUAGCUUCAUUUCAAUCAGGAAAGACUCAAAAGAAGGAAAGGCUUCGUGAUGUAUUGUACGCGGUGUGGACAGUGAGGUAAAGAUAUGAGGAGUCCUUAGUAACUAGACCUCAUGUUAAGGGCUUAGUGAUGCCAUGAGCUGUACAGGUUUAACAAAGGGAGGAAGGGCCUCUGUCAGCUUAUGUGAUGUGUUACGAGCAGGAAGAGAGAGAGAGAAUGUAAAUAGAUUGCAAUGGCUGAGAUUUCUGCCCUGAUUCAGCUUCAGCAAAGCUUCAUUUAAACAUUUACUUCAUGCUUUGAAGCAUGCAAAAUGCCAAUAAUGUGCUGCCAUGAUACUGAAUUUGCAUCAAAUAUAUGAUAAUAAACAUGAUUUUUU
ensembl:lncRNA